UACGUAGGGUGCGAGCGUUGUCCGGAAUUAUUGGGCGUAAAGAGCUCGUAGGCGGUCUGUCGCGUCGAUCGUGAAAACUUGGGGCUUAACCCUGAGCUUGCGGUCGAUACGGGCAUGACUGGAGUUCGGCAGGGGAGACUGGAAUUCCUGGUGUAGCGGUGAAAUGCGCAGAUAUCAGGAGGAACACCGGUGGCGAAGGCGGGUCUCUGGGCAAUAACUGACGCUGAGGAGCGAAAGCGUGGGGAGCGAACAGG
rnacentral:rRNA from 1 species